rnacentral:tRNA from 1 species
GGGAAUGUAGCUCAGUGGUAGAAUUCUUGGCUAGCAUGCAUGAGGCCCUGGGCUCAAUCCCCAGGAUUGCCA